rnacentral:rRNA from 1 species
AUUGAACGCUGGCGGCAGGCCUAACACAUGCAAGUCGAACGGUAACAGGAAGAAGCUUGCUUCUUUGCUGACGAGUGGCGGCCGGGUGAGUAAUGUCUGGGAAACUGCCUGAUGGAGGGGGAUAACUACUGGAAACGGUAGCUAAUACCGCAUAAUGUCGCAAGACCAAAGAGGGGGACCUUCGGGCCUCUUGCCAUCGGAUGUGCCCAGAUGGGAUUAGCUAGUAGGUGGGGUAACGGCUCACCUAGGCGACGAUCCCUAGCUGGUCUGAGAGGAUGACCAGCCACACUGGAACUGAGACACGGUCCAGACUCCUACGGGAGGCAGCAGUGGGGAAUAUUGCACAAUGGGCGCAAGCCUGAUGCAGCUAUGCCGCGUGUAUGAAGAAGGCCUUCGGGUUGUAAAGUACUUUCAGCGGGGAGGAAGGGAGUAAAGUUAAUACCUUUGCUCAUUGACGUUACCCGCAGAAGAAGCACCGGCUAACUCCGUG